GACGAACGCUGGCGGCGUGCCUAAUACAUGCAAGUUGAGCGCUGAAGGUUGGUACUUGUACCAACUGGAUGAGCAGCGAACGGGUGAGUAACGCGUGGGGAAUCUGCCUUUGAGCGGGGGACAACAUUUGGAAACGAAUGCUAAUACCGCAUAAAAACUUUAAACACAAGUUUUAAGUUUGAAAGAUGCCAUUGCAUCACUCAAAGAUGAUCCCGCGUUGUAUUAGCUAGUUGGUGAGGUAAAGGCUCACCAAGGCGGUGAUACAUAGCCGACCUGAGAGGGUGAUCGGCCACAUUGGGACUGAGACACGGCCCAAACCCCUACGGGAGGCAGCAGGAGGGAAACUUCGGCAAGGGGCGACAGGCUGACCGAGCAACGCCGCGGGAGGGAAGAAGGGUGUCGGAUCGUAAAAGUCUGUUGGUAGAGAAGAAAGUUGGUGAGAGUGGAAAGCUCAUCAAGUGACGGUAACUACCCAGAAAGGGACGGCUAACUACGUG
rnacentral:rRNA from 1 species